rnacentral:rRNA from 1 species
GACGAACGCUGGCGGCGUGCUUAACACAUGCAAGUCGAACGAUGAAGCUAGAGCUUGCUCUGGUGGAUUAGUGGCGAACGGGUGAGUAACACGUGAGUAACCUGCCCCGAACUCUGGGAUAACUGCUGGAAACGGUAGCUAAUACCGGAUAUGACCAAUGAAGGCAUCUUCUGUUGGUGGAAAGAAUUUCGGUUCGGGAUGGACUCGCGGCCUAUCAGCUUGUUGGUGAGGUAACGGCUCACCAAGGCGACGACGGGUAGCCGGCCUGAGAGGGUGAUCGGCCACACUGGGACUGAGACACGGCCCAGACUCCUACGGGAGGCAGCAGUGGGGAAUCUUGCGCUAAUGCGGGAAACCGUGACGCCGCGACGCCGCGUGAGGGAAGAAGGCCUUCGGGUUGUAAACCUCUUUCCGGAGGGACGAAGCUACUCGGGUUAAUAGCCCAGAGGGUGACGGUACCUCCAGAAGAAGCCCCGGCUAAC